GAAGGAGAAGGAGAAGGAGAAGGAGAAGGAGAAGGAGAAGGAGAAGGAGAAGGAGAAGGAGAAGGAGAAGGAGAAGGAGAAGCAGCAGCAAUCAGACAGAAGGACACGCAGAUGGUCAAAUUAGCAAGGAGAUACGCCAAAAGCAACGGACGCUUUGUAUUCAACAGUUCGAGAAAGGUUGUUCAUUUUAACGGAUGGCAAUUCGGCAGGUGAAGUCACCAUCGCCAUAAAGGUAGGACUUGCUUAUUAUCAGACAGGCUGUAACUGGCUGCCUCCUUGUGGCAUACUACAGAAAUGUCAGAACAUAACGUUUUUUACAGACCGAAUCACCCGAGAUUCACCAGCCUCUCACAAGGAAGGUCAGUAAAGGUAAUGGUUUAUUUCCUCCAUUAGUUAACUUAAAUGCGUGAACUUGCCAUUAACGAUACACUUCGUAUUUCUGUAGUCAAAGUAAGUGAAGGUGCAUCAGCUCAUAAAAGGAAGACUACAAAAGAACCAUCAAAGGUAGCUAGCAAUUCAAUUUAAAUGGCUUUAAUAUCAUGGGAAACGUAUUGUAAUGAAAUAGCAGGGAGCAGGUCUCGAACCCUCGACCUUCUAGACCGAAGUCCAGCGCGCAAUCGACUGCCUCAGAGUCGAUGUCCGCGCUUAUAAACACAGGGUCGUUACAGUAUAUUUACAUUGGCAAAGCACGUGACAGGAAUAAUAAACUGUUAAAUAAACAAGCAAAAAUGAACAGUAAGCAUUACUCACAAUUUUCAAAUGAAUACAUUUCAAAUGUCACAUGGCUAUGUACAGUGUUAUAACGAUGCAAUAGUCUACCACGGUGUACUACCUGGUUAGGUUCAAAUAGCAUUCCAGUUUGCGCUGUUUUUUUUUUUGGUAGUCUUUCCAAUAUGUCAAGUAAUCUUUUUUGUUUUCUCAUGAUUUGGUUGGGUCUAAUCGUGUGGCUGUCCUGAGGCUCUUUGGGGUCUGUUUAUGACCAGAGCCCCUGGACCAGCUUUCUUAAGGACUCUUUAGGUUAAUCUCUCUGUAGGUGAUGGCUGUAUGUAAGGUUUGUGAAUUGCUUAUUUUAAGGCAGUUAUAAAAUGUAAUGGGUAUUGGCCUAAUUCUGCUCUGCAUGCAUUUUGUUUUUCACCCAUGUUUUUGCAGAGUCUCAAAUUGGUGUUUGUCCAAUUUGUAUUUGUUGGUGAGUGGAUCCCAGACCUUACAACCAUAAAGGGCAAUAGGUUCUAUAACUGAUUCAAGUAUCUUUUUGUAAUUGGGAUGUUGAAUUGUAUGUUCCUUUUGAUGGUGUAGAAGGCCAUUGCCGCCUUGUCUCAGAUCUUUCACAAUAUUGUGGAAGUUAGCUCUGGUGCUGAGGUAGGUAAAGUUUAGAUCCCACUUUAUUUGCAUGGCAUUAGGCCAAUGUGUGAUUGGGAACAGAGCAGGCAUUUCUCCUUAAAUAUAUACAAUGUAAUACAAUGACUUUCUUCUAAAGGUUUCCAAGAAAGCCAGAUCACUUGCCAAUGGCUCAAGCACUGGAAGCGUACGGUAUGUCUCCCUAUACAUUAUCAGUCCUGGCGAGCAACCGGUUGGUUGCUAGUUUUGUUCCAGUCCACCACUUAUUAAACGCCCUCUUCAGUAGCGUUCGAAACGCCCUCUUCAGUAGCGUUCGAAACGCCCUCUUCUGGUCGAUUCCGCUCAUUUGCUCUUGCAGGAGUGCCACAUCCACAAGUACAAAAAUAACUAAAACUCGCAUUGCCAAAAUCAGUGAUCAAUCUCCACUGACUGGGAUGAAACACAGGUUUGUCUUCACUUAUCACUUUCCAUUAUGAAAAAGAUUGCAGUCAGAGUGCAGUUAUUCUGCAGUUACUAGGUCCAAAAUACUAUUAGUCAACUGCACUGUCACUAGUUUCAAAACGGUCAUCUUUUAAGGGAUGCCUGAGUUUAUCAAAUUAAUUCUGCCCUAAAUUCUCCUUGGUUUCUAGAUCUGUUUUGCGGUCAGCCAGUGAUGACCACCUGCAUUGCUACCUGUCUGGAUUGUCUCCACAUGUAAUGAUCUCUACAUCCCAUGGAGAGACGUUGUGCCUCUCGGAUGAUACUGUUGAAGAUGUUGACAUCGGGUUACUGGAUGAUAUGGCUGUUCUCCAGAUGCAGAAGUUGAUGCAGGGGCACCUCUCUCCUCGUACAGACCUGUUGCCACACUGCUCCCCAGCCUGUUAGCAAAGUGUCGGUCGUCAAUACCUCUCGCCUUGCCGGAAUUGAUCUGAGAUGGUCACCUGUAGUCAGGUAGGCUCUCCUCCACGGCCACAGAGUAGCACACACAAAGUUGCUGAACAUAGGUGGGAACAGGAACACGCUGUCGAUCCAGAGUAUCCCAUCAUGCUCAAUGGGUGACGUGUCUGGUGAGUAUGUAGGCCAUGGAACAACUGGUACAUAUUCAGCUUCCAGGAAUUGUGUACAGAUCCUUGCGACAGGGGGCCAUGCAUUAUGCUUUAACAUGUGAUGGUGGCGGCUGAAUGGCACGACAAUGUGCCUGAGGAUCUCGUCACUGUGUGCAUUCAAAUCGAUAAAACAAUUGUUUUCAUUGUCCAUAGCUUAUGCCUGCUCAAAGCAUAACCCUACCGCCACCAUGGGGAAACUGUUCACAACGUUGACAUCAGCAAACCGCUCGCCCACACAACGCCAUACGUCUGCCUGGCACAUUUGAAAUUGUGAUUAAUCCGCAGAGUAUCCUCCAGCAGCCAUCGAAGGUUGGUUACGACACCAAACUGGAGUCAGGUCAAGACAAGUACACAGAUGAGCUUCGCCGAGACUGUUUUGAGUUUGUGCAGAAAUUCUUUGGUUGUGCAAAUCCAUUUAUCAACUGUCGGUUGUCUGAUCUCAAACAAUCCGUGGUGAAGAAGCCAGAUGUGGAGGACCUGGGCUGGUGUGGUUCAUGGUCUGCAGUUGGACCUACUGCCAAAUACUCUGAAGUGACAUUGGAUGUGGCUUAUGGUAUAGAAAUUAAAUUUCAAAUCCCUGGCAACAGUUCUGGUGCUUUAAUCAGCUUCUUGAUAUGCCACACUUGUUCGGUGGAUGGAUUCUCAGCGAAGGAGAAAUGCUCACUGACAGUAAACACAUUUGUGCAAAAAAAAUUGUAGAGAAAAGCUUUUUAUGCAUAUGGGAAAAAUCGAUGAUCUUUUAUUUCAGUUCAUGAAACCAACACUUGACAUUUUGCAUUUAUAUUUUUGUUCAGUGUAAUAACACAUUAUGACACAGGCUGCAUUUACACAGGCAGCCCAAUUAUUGGUAAGAGCCAACCUGAUUGGUCAAAAGACAAAUUAGUAGAAGAUCAGAAUUGGGCUUCAAGUGUAAAGAGCAGCUCUAGUGCAAUGUUUCCUAACACCAGUCCUUGAGUAUCCACAACAGCACACAUUUUGUUGUAGCCACAGACAAGUAAACUUAAUCAAGCCCUCAAUGAGCUGAAUCAGCCAAGUUUGUCCAGGGCAAUAAACAGGAGUGCUGUUGUGGGUACUCAGACUGGAGUUGGUAAACACAAAUAACCAGCUCAUCAAGCUUUGAUUAUUUUGGCCACUAGAGGCCUCUAUCAUUCUCUAUGAUACCCAUCAACAUUAAUGAAAAAGGACUGAGAUGGUAACCAAGAAAUUUUCCUGACGGAUUAAAGUCAUUUCCCAGACAAGCACAAGACAGAAUCACAAACAUCAAGUAUUGCUGUUUGAGAUUUGAAUAACUUUUAUUUAACAACUUAAUAAACCUUUUUUUUCACAGAAGUUAAGCUGCUUUUAAAUUGUAUUUUUUCAGCUUCUCUCGUUAGAUUGGAUGUUUAAUCGGUGCAGGAACCAAUGCGGUCUUAACAUGCACCAGGGUUGAGGACAAAUACAGGCGUUUUUUCUAUUUGUAUCACACCA